rnacentral:rRNA from 1 species
CCUACGGGGGGCUGCAGUGGGGAAUAUUGGACAAUGGGGGGAACCCUGAUCCAGCCAUGCCGCGUGUGUGAAGAAGGCCCUCGGGUUGUAAAGCACUUUCAGUGAGGAAGAACGCCUGGUGGUUAAUACCCAUCAGGAAAGACAUCACUCACAGAAGAAGCACCGGCUAACUCCGUGCCAGCAGCCGCGGUAAUACGGAGGGUGCGAGCGUUAAUCGGAAUUACUGGGCGUAAAGCGCGCGUAGGUGGCUUGAUAAGCCGGUUGUGAAAGCCCCGGGCUCAACCUGGGAACGGCAUCCGGAACUGUCAAGCUAGAGUGCAGGAGAGGAAGGUAGAAUUCCCGGUGUAGCGGUGAAAUGCGUAGAGAUCGUGAGGAAUACCAGUGGCGAAGGCGGCCUUCUGGACUGACACUGACACUGAGGUGCGAAAGCGUGGGUAGCAAACAGGAUUAGAUACCCCAGUAGUC